UGUAUUCAGAAAUGACUUAUCUUUUUGUUAUAUGUAUGCUGCUAUUUUCUUUCGCUGUGGGGCACACAUUGGGGAGCCUAAUUAGGAGUUUACUGAUGGCGAAGCAACGGCCACAUUUCAAGUUUUGUGUAUGCCUCUUGUUUAAGCGCUUGUGUACUCUAUCAAGGCGCCAGAUGGCCUGCUGGCUGCGUUUUUUUCCUAGUCAUGCGCUUGUGUACUCAUCAUGGCACAAGAUGGCCUGCUGGCUGCCUUUUUUCCUAGUCAUGUUUGCGUGUGCACUGAUAUUUUUUAAUGCGAUGCUGCCACAUAGCUGCCAUUUUUCUGCAUCAUGGUAAGCCAGAGCGGCCCCUUCAAGCACAGCACACUGAAUCUACUACAGUGCCAGAUUCUGUGGCAGCCUGGAUCGUGGAGCACAACGAUGCAAAAAGUGAAUUUUUGUGCCUACAGGUGCAGUCAGCUUUGUCCCGUGCCGUCACCUUUUCAAUUGCAUUUUGUGCAAU